GUUUUGUUUAUCUCCAUGGUGUUGAUUUUUUUAAAAUGUAAACAAAUUAAUUAAUCGAGAGUUUAUCUCUUUAAUUGAGAUUCUAUUUGUUUGUUUAAUUGUUGCCGACAUCAUUGUUCAUUUGUUUUCGUUUGGUUAUCAUCAAUUUGUGAAGAUGAACAACUUAUCUUAUGUUGUUUUAUUGAUCUCCAUUGCUUUGGUAAAUUGUCAUCAAUUUGAUUGGCAAUUUCAUGAUUAUUUUGAUGUUAUCAAUGAACAAAUUACUUGAGUAAAUAAAGAUGAUUGUAAAAUGAUGGACAUUAAAGACCUGAUCCUACGAAAUUCAACUGUUGUACCUUAUAUUAAAUGACUUGGGACUGAUCCAGUUUUCCUUAAUCAUACUAACCUCUUAAAAUUAUGGCCCCUGGACCCGAGUUUUAUUUUACAGUUUCAUCCUUGAUAAGGCCAAUGAUGUCGCUGAGACGGAGUUUUGUACUUCAUCAUCGAUAUUGUUUCACUUAAUUGCUUGAUAUUUGGUUUACAUCGCGCAGUGAAAAGUCACCGAUAAGCUUAUUGCUCGGAAUAAAGUGAUUAAUUCUACAAAUAAUUGUAAUCAAAUAAACGUUUUAUUGCGAGUUUUGUAAAUUCAUCAUUUGAGUGAAUGAUGGAAAAUGAUCAUUUUAAAGAUUGGUAACCAUAAUGAUCGCUAUUGCCAAAGCCGAUCCCCAAACCAUCUUUAUAAUUGUGGUCAUAAAGGUCGUCCUCACCGAAAGUAUUUCCAUCAAAAUGAGACCAACCUGCGUGAUGAUGUUCAUAAUGUUUCUCAACUUUAACCCUGUUGAUAAAUAAUCAAUUUGAGUAUUAAUUUCAAAGGACCAACAAUUAUCAAUACUUACGGAAUAUGAACUGGAACUUUAAUGGGCACAUGAACAGGAACGUGAACGGGAACAUGGAUCGGGAUAUGCUUUGUUACAGGAUAAGGGAUAUGCUUAACUGUAGCGAGGAAAACAAAUUACUAUGAUGAAAAAUGUUUGAUGUAAAUAUUACUCACCAACAGGGAUAUAAACAGGGUGUCGAAUUGGAACUGGAACUGGAACUGGGAAAGGAACAGGUUGAGGUGGAGAAGGUGGCCCACUUCCACCACCGGCAAUGAUAAUAUGUCCACCUUUAUGACCUGCCGAAACUGAGUGAAUACUAACAACAACUAAGCAGCAAAAAACGAAACAUUUAAUUUCAUCCAUUUGAAUAUCAACUCAAAAAAAAAAGAUUAUUGAAACAAUAAGUUUGAAAUGAUAAAGUUGAUGAUUGCACUUUCGAGUGGAUAUUGAUUCAAUUGACUGUAUGGCUCGUCUUAUAUAUAAGCCAUGAUGAUAUCCUGAUCAUUAAUUGUUCAUCGAUGUGAUGGUUAAGUGAUCUGAUCAACUUUUCAUGUUAAAUACAAUCUCUUUUUUUUGUAUUAAAAACUAUUCUGAGAAAA